rnacentral:rRNA from 1 species
UCUCUAGGAAGCUUGCUUCCAAAGAGACUUAGUGGCGAACGGGUGAGUAACACGUAGGUAACCUGCCCAUGUGUCCGGGAUAACUGCUGGAAACGGUAGCUAAAACCGGAUAGGUAUACAGAGCGCAUGCUCAGUAUAUUAAAGCGCCCAUCAAGGCGUGAACAUGGAUGGACCUGCGGCGCAUUAGCUAGUUGGUGAGGUAACGGCCCACCAAGGCAAUGAUGCGUAGCCGGCCUGAGAGGGUAAACGGCCACAUUGGGACUGAGACACGGCCCAAACUCCUACGGGAGGCAGCAGUAGGGAAUUUUCGUCAAUGGGGGAAACCCUGAACGAGCAAUGCCGCGUGAGUGAAGAAGGUCUUCGGAUCGUAAAGCUCUGUUGUAAGUGAAGAACGGCUCAUAGAGGAAAUGCUAUGGGAGUGACGGUAGCUUACCAGAAAGCCACGGCUAACUACGUGCCAGCAGCCGCGGUAAUACGUAGGUGGCAAGCGUUAUCCGGAAUCAUUGGGCGUAAAGGGUGCGUAGGUGGCGUACUAAGUCUGUAGUAAAAGGCAAUGGCUCAACCAUUGUAAGCUAUGGAAACUGGUAUGCUGGAGUGCAGAAGAGGGCGAUGGAAUUCCAUGUGUAGCGGUAAAUGCGUAGAUAUAUGGAGG